UUAGAAGACCUCUGUGUAUGGUUUAUGCAUUUAAGAGCCUUCCUACCUGCUUUCUACAAACUAGAUGAAAUGUAUCAGGUGUUUUUUCUUUCAUCUCUGCAGUUCAUGCAUAAAUUCACUACAUCCUCCCUACAUAAUGUUCUUCACAAGAAUAAAGUGAAAGGAACAGCAUCUAGCAAGAAGCUCUUUUGGAGGGCUGUCAUCCGGAAACAAGACAACAUGAGCUAAUCUCCACAGAGAAUGGGACAUCACAUCCUGACCUUGGU